rnacentral:rRNA from 1 species
UACGGAGGGGGCGAGCGUUAUUCGGAAUUAUUGGGCGUAAAGGGCGCGUAGGCGGCUUGACAAGUCAAAGGUGAAAUCCCUCGGCUCAACUGAGGAACUGCCUUUGAAACUGUCUGGCUUGAGGCCGGGAGGGGGUAGCGGAAUUCCCAGUGUAGCGGUGAAAUGCGUAGAUAUCUGGAGGAACACCGGUGGCGAAGGCGGCAUCCUGGACCGAGAUUGACGCUGAGGCGCGAAAGCCAGGGGAGCAAACGGG